rnacentral:tRNA from 1 species
GCCCAGAUAGCUCAGUCAGUAGAGCAUCAGAUUUUUAAUCUGAAGGUCCAAGGUUCCAAUCCCCUAUUUAAUUA